GUUCUUUACCAUAUUUGUGCUUUGGAAAAUGAGGAUUUUCUGCUUGAUUAUUGCUUAUAAUCCAAGAUAACAGUUAAAGUAAAUGAAUUAGAAAAUGUUCAUUAACAUCAAAUACAAAUCAAGAAGUUGGUUCUUCCAUGGAAGCAUGUGGACGUAAUUUCAGUUGUAGUCCAUAGGAGUAGCUAAGUAGAGCUGUUGGUGAGGAGAUGAUAUACUUAGGUUUAUACCUUGGACCAGGAAAAACAAAAUGUAUCAUUUUAUGGAAGGCUGAAAGCAGAGGAGGAAUUUGAGUUGUUCAGUUGCAACCUCCUCUUUUCAAGCCCUCAAUCUUUCCCAGCAUCUGGGUCUUUUCCAGUGAGUCGACUCUUUGCAUCAAGUAGCCAAAGUAUUGGAGUUUCAGCUUCAGCAUCAGUUGGAAUGGUUGGAUCUCCUUGCAGUCCAAGGGACUCUCAAGAGUCUUCUCCAGCACCACAGUUUGAAAGCAUCAAUUCUUUGGCACUCAGCCUUCUUUAUGGUCCAAUUCUCACAUCUGUACAUGACUACUGGAAAAACCAUAGCUUUGACUGGACAGACCUUUGUCGGCAAAGUGAUGUCUCUGCUUUUUAAUACACUGUCUCGGUUUGUCAAGGCUUUCCUUCCAAGGAGCUAGCAUCUUUUAAUUUCAUGGCUGCAGUCACCAUCCACAGUGAUUUUGGAGCCCCAAAAUAAAAUCUAUCACUGUUUCCACUUCCCAUUUAAUUGCCAUGAAGUGAUGGGACCUAAUUCCAAGUAUCAAAUCUGUAACAGUCAGAAAAAGUGAAUUAUAAAGCUGUCAAGAAAAGACAUCCUUUAGAUAGAGAAGCUCCCCUAAGGCUUCUCCAGACAAGUCAAGGAAAGCAGGACUGAGAGCUUGGAGAAGAGCUCUCUUAGGGCAAAUCAUCAGACACAGGUUCAAGUGCUGGCCAUUAGCUUAGUACCUAAGCAAAAUAUUACACAAAAAAAGAUUCUCUCUAAUGCUGUACAUGGAUUGCAUCAUUUGAAUGAGGCUCAAAAACAAUGUCACUAAAAGGUAGGGAAGAAUACUUGAAACCAAAGAAAGAGAAGUUUCCUUAGGAAAAUUGUCCACAUCAAUCUAGGAUCAAGUCUGAUCCUUGACUAAAUGCCACUUCAGACAAAACUUGUUGAAAUGUAUGUCAUAGUAUUAAUGCAAAAGUAAAUUCAUUUUAAGGUUUAUGGUUUCAUGUCUUACACUUAAGACUUUCACAGACUUCGAAUUCAUUUUUGUAUGUGAAUGUUACUCAACCACAGAAUAGAAGGAGCUCUUGCCAUUUGCCAACGUGGAUGAAGCUGGAGGGCAUUAUGCUAAGUGAAAUAAGCCAGAAAGAGAAAGACAAAUGUUGUGUAGUAUAACUUACAAGUAAAAUUUGGGGAAACAAAAAAAAGUCAAACUUAUAUAAACAGAGGGAAGUGGUGGUUUCCAGGAGUUGGAAGGUGGAGGAAAUGGGGAGAUGUUGAUUAAAGGGUACAAACUUUCAGUUAUAAGAUGAAUAAAGUUCUGAGAAUCUAAUGUAGAGUUAAUAAUACUGUAUUGGUACUUAAAAUUUGCGGAGAGGAGAUUUUCAAUAUUCUCACCAAUAAAAAGGUAACUACAUGAGG
ensembl:lncRNA